GACGAACGCUGGCGGCGUGCUUAACACAUGCAAGUCGAACGGAAAGGCCCUGCUUUUGUGGGGUGCUCGAGUGGCGAACGGGUGAGUAACACGUGAGUAACCUGCCCUUGACUUUGGGAUAACUUCAGGAAACUGGUGCUAAUACCGGAUAGGAGCUCCUGCUGCAUGGUGGGGGUUGGAAAGUUUCGGCGGUUGGGGAUGGACUCGGGGCUUAUCAGCUUGUUGGUGGGGUAGUGGCAUACCAAGGCUUUGACGGGUAGCCGGCCUGAGAGGGUGACCGGCCACAAUAGGACUGAGAGACGGCCCAGACUCCUACGGGAGGCAGCAGUGGGGAAUAUGGCACAAUGGGCGGAAGCCUGAUGCGGCAACGCCGCGUGCGGGAUGACGGCCUUCGGGUUGUAAACCGCUUUCGCCUGUGACGAAGCGUGAGUGACGGUAAUGGGUAAAGAAGCACCGGCUAACUACGUG
rnacentral:rRNA from 1 species